UGGCUGGUGGGGACUCCGGCCUCGCCACAGCGGGGAGAGCCGAGGGGCAGGAGGGCGUGAGCGGCGGCGGCUGGACCCAGGGCCCUCCCCACCAAUCUUUCUGCUGAACAUAUACCAGUGGAGGUCAAAGACAGAAGAAAGGCUUCAUAUGUACAAAAAAACCCCAUUGAUAACAGCACUUUUAGUGAUAGCAAAGAACUGGGAACAAAGUUGGUACCCAUCAGUUGGGGACUGGCUGAACUCUGGUUUAUUAACAUAAUGGAAUGUUACUGUGCAAUAAGAAAUGACAAAUGUAUCCAGAGAAUCAUAGAAAGAUCUGUAUGAACUCCUGCAGAAGGAAAAGUGCCAAGAGAACAACAUACAGAUUGAUCACAACAAUAUUACCAAGAGAACAGAUUGAACCCAACAACGUAAAUAGAACACUAAGAGACAACUAAAUUCUAAGUAGUUAUUAAAACAAAUCUUGGUCUCAGAAAAGACAAUGAAGCAUCAGAGAGGGAGCUGACUGUGGAUUUAGAAGUUUGUAGACGUUUCUAGACGCUGUAACUGUGUUGUCAUAUGUUUCUUAACUUCCUAUGUUUAUUUCAAGAAGAAAGUUUAAUUCUCAGGUUGAAGGAAGCAGAGCAGAGAAAUAUCCAGAAAUGACUGUUAUGUAAAAACAAAAAGGAUAAAUAAAAUUUUUAAAAAUUCUUAGAUGUUCUACUUUUACCUGUAUAUUUGCCAUGUUUUCCUCAAUUGAUUUUUAUUUCUAUUUUAUUGUUUUUCUGUGUAGUUUUUUCAUUUUUAAGCAAACUAGUACAUCUACCUAUAAUUACUUCUAUUUGUUUAAUAACUAAAUGUGUAUCUCCUCUGUAUAUUUUAGAGAAAUAUAUUAUUCUGUCAUUCUCUGUGUACAACUAUGGCUUUUUCUGUCUAUAUUUCAUCCUGAAUUUAAUAUGGUAUAUAUUGUGAGGUUUGGAUCUAAAUUUUAAAUAAAAAAUACUUUAUCCCUUUU